AUUGAACGCUAGCGGGAUGCCUUACACAUGCAAGUCGAACGGCAGCACGGACUUCGGUCUGGUGGCGAGUGGCGAACGGGUGAGUAAUGUAUCGGAACGUGCCCAGUAGCGGGGGAUAACUACGCGAAAGCGUAGCUAAUACCGCAUACGCCCUACGGGGGAAAGCAGGGGAACGUAAGACCUGUCACUAUCGGAGCGGCCGCUAACGGAUUAGCUAGUUGGUGAGGGAAUGGCUCACCAAGGCGACGAUCCGUAGCUGGUUUGAGAGGACGACCAGCCACACUGGGACUGAGACACGGCCCAGACUCCUACGGGAGGCAGCAGUGGGGAAUUUUGGACAAUGGGGGAAACCCUGAUCCAGCCAUCCCGCGUGUGCGAUGAAGGCCUUCGGGUUGUAAAGCACUUUUGGCAGGAAAGAAAUGGCGUGUGUUAAUACCAUGCGCAGAUGACGGUACCUGCAGAAUAAGCACCGGCUAACUACGUGCCAGCAGCCGCGGUAAGAC
rnacentral:rRNA from 1 species